rnacentral:rRNA from 1 species
AAGUCGUAACAAGGUCUCCGUAGGUGAACCUGCGGAGGGAUCAUUACCGAGUGCGGGCCCCGCGCGCCCAGACCUCCCAACCCUCUGUCGACGUAAUACGCGUUGCCUCGGGGUGCGACCCGACGUCGCGCCGGAGCCCCCGAGGACGUCCAACCGAACACACUGCGUCCUUGCGUCGGAGUAUGAAAAUCAAUCAAUCAAAACUUUCAACAACGGAUCUCUUGGUUCUGGCAUCGAUGAAGAACGCAGCGAAAUGCGAUAAGUAAUGUGAAUUGCAGAAUUCAGUGAAUCAUCGAAUCUUUGAACGCACAUUGCGCCCCUUGGCAUUCCGAAGGGGGCAUGCCCGUUCGAGCGUCAUUACACCACUCGAGCCUGGCUUCGGUAUUGGGCGUCGGGAUGCCCCGCGCCUCUAAUGUUGUUCGGCUGGACGGUUCGAAUCUCAGCGUUGUGCAAUCCAAAUCCGCUGUGCGGACUGACUGGACGCGUCCGUGAAACAUACUCCCAUCACAAGGUUGACCUCGGAUCAGGUAGGGAUACCCGCUGAACUUAA